CCGAAAUAUUGAGAGGAAAGAGAGAGAAAGAUUUCAUCUUCAUUUUUGUGUUCAAGAAGCUACAUAGCCAUUGCCUUCACAAGUUCUUCCAUACUAGGAUCUUCGGUGGAAAUUUGAAGGAAAGGAUCACAGCGAUUCCUACGGUUUUAAAAGCUACUUGGAAGAUGUUGUCUAGCGUGAGCUCUGAAUAGGAUGGAAGUCGAGG